AAACUAUCAUUCUGUCUCAUUUUUGAGUCUUCAUAAAGCUUUGUAAUUCUCUCAGUUUACAAUAGUUACAAAAAGAAAAAGAUUGAGUUAGUCCCUUAGUUAUACGAGUCGAUGUUGUGUCACAAGAUCUAGAUAACCAUAGAUUGAGAUUCAGAACUUGUUUAAUUCCACUGUAACUCAUUCUUAACUCUAAGCUCUAAAGGAAACCCUUGCAAUCCAAGGGGACUGGAAUAGGUACCAUAUUGGUGAUACAAACCAAUAUAAAAUUCAUUGUUCUUUGUUAUAUUUCAGUUUCUGCUUUCAGCUUAAUUCUAUUUUAUUACGUAUACUACUUGCAGGAGAACUAACUGACGAAGCCGAUUAGUCGACUCAGAAUAGUUUCUCCAUUCUUGAGGCAAGAGAAAGAGGAAGAAGUUCAAAAAGAAUGGCUGGAGCAAAUAGGAGAAGCUAGUUUUAACAAAGACUUUUUCCAAAUUGCUAAUUGUUGAAUUCCUUUGGACUUGUUGACUGAGCUGCCGCUGAACAGAAAUAUGGACGUGUCUUUUCUUUGCUUUGUUCAUAAGAAGAUAAACUAUCUAUACCUUGUACUUCCUCGGUCACAAUUAAUUUGAUGUAGUUUGAUUGGAUACAGAGUUUAAGAAAAAAAAAUAUUUUUGAAUCUUGUGUAAUGUAAUUCAUAGAUAUUUUGG
rnacentral:lncRNA from 1 species